UCAGAAAUAGUUUAUUUAAAAUAUUAAUUUUGGAGAUUAAAGAUAAUUUUAAUUUUUCUGAA
rnacentral:tRNA from 1 species